CAUAACUGACCGUAACUUGACUGUUUCAGAAAGAUGAGAGAAGUGCAGAGGAAAUCAUCAUCUGUCUUGGUAUGCUAAAAGAGGAGAUAAAGAACAGUAGCAAAUAUGCUGCUAGGCCAUUGACCAGCAGUAGGAUACUAAGAAAGGAGAAGCUCUUAUUGACCUGUAAAAUGAAAACAGGACAUUUUCAAAUUGUUUUGUUGUAGGGAUGGGGUACAAGUAGAAGAUUGGUCAAUAUUAUGUACAUGUACCUUGAUAUGAAUUUAUUUUUGAUUGUGUUCAAUGAUAAACUGGAAAUAAAUGAUAACAUAAAUU